CCCCUCCCCCUCUCCCUCUCCGUCUCCACGGUCUCCCUCUGAUGCCGAGCCGAAGCUGGACUGUACUGCUGCCAUCUCUGCUCACUGCAACCUCCCUGCCUGAUUCUCCUGCCUCAGCCUGCCGAGUGCCUGCGAUUGCAGGCGCGCGCCGCCACGCCUGACUGGUUUUCGUAUUUUUUGGGUGGAGACGGGGUUUCGCUGUGUUGGCCGGGCUGGUCUCCAGCCCCUAACCGCGAGUGAUCUGCCAGCCUCGGCCUCCCGAGGUGCCGGGAUUGCAGACGGAGUCUCUCAAUGGUGCCCAGGCUGGAGUGCAGUGGCGUGAUCUCGGCUCGCUACAACAUCCACCUCCCAGCAGCCUGCCUUGGCCUCCCAAAGUGCCGAGAUUGCAGCCUCUGCCCGGCCGCCACCCCGUCUGGGAAGUGAGGAGCGUCUCUGCCUGGCCGCCCAUCAUCUGGGAUGUGAGGAGCCCCUCUGCCUGGCUGCCCAGUCUGGAAAGUGAGGAGCGUCUCUGCCCAGCCGCCAUCCCAUCUAGGAAGUGAGGAGCGCCUCUUCCCGGCCGCCAUCACAUCUAGGAAGUGCGGAGCCUCUCUGCCCGGCCACCCAUCGUCUGAGAUGUGGGGAGCGCCUCUGCCCUGUCGCCCCGUCCGGGAUGUGAGGAGCGUCUCUCCCUGGCCGCCCCGUCUGAGAAGUGAGGAGCCCCUCCGCCCAGCAGCCACCCUGUCUGGGAAGUGAGGAGGGUCUCCGCCCGGCAGCCACCCCGUCCGGGAGGGAGAUGGGGGGGUCAGCCCCCCGCCCGGCCAGCCGCCCUGUCCGGGAGGUGGGGGGGUCAGUCCCCCGCCCGGCCAGCCGCCCCGUCCGGGAGGGAGGUGGGGGGGUCAGCCCCCCGCCUGGCUAGCCGCCCCAUCCCGGAGGUGAGGGGCGCCUCUGCCUGGCCGCCCCUACUGGGAAGUGAGGAGCCCCUCUGCCCGGCCAGCCGCCCCGUCCGGGAGGGAGGUGGGGGGGGUCAGCCCCCCGCCUGGCCAGCCGCCCCAUCCGGGAGGUGAGGGGCGCCUCUGCCCGGACGCCCCUACUGGGAAGUGAGGAGCCCCUCUGCCCGGCCAGCCGCCCCGUCCGGGAGGGAGGUGGGUGGGUCAGCCCCCCGCCCGGCCAGCCGCCCCGUCCCGGAGGGAGGUGGGGGGGUCAGCCCCCCGCCCGGCCAGCCGCCCCGUCCGGGAGGUGAGGGGCGCCUUUGCCCGGCCGCCCCUACUGGGAAGUGAGGAGCCCCUCUGCCCGGCCAGCCGCCCCGUCUGGGAGGGAGGUGGGGGGGGUCAGCCCCCCGCCCGGCCAGCCGCCCCGUCCGGGAAGGAGGUUGGGGGGUCAGCCCCCCGCCCGGCCGGGAAGGAGGUUGGGGGGUCAGCCCCCCGCCCGGCCAGCCACCCCGUCCGGGAGGUGAGGGGCGCCUCUGCCCGGCCGCUCCUACUGGGAAGUGAGGAGCCCCUCUGCCCGGCCACCACCCCGUCUGGGAGGUGUACCCAACAGCUCAUUGAGAACGGGCCAUGAUGACAAUGGCGGUUUUGUGGACUAGAAAGGUGGGAAAGGUGGGGAAAAGAUUGAGAAAUCGGAUGGUUGCCGUGUCUGUGUAGAAAGAGGUAGACGUGGGAGACUUUUCAUUUUGUUCUGUACUAAGAAAAAUUCUUCUGCCUUGGGAUCCUGUUGAUCUGUGACCUUACCCCCAACCCUGUGCUCUCUGAAACAUGUGCUGUGUCCACUCAGGGUUAAAUGGAUUAAGGGCGGUGCAAGAUGUGCUUUGUUAAACAGACGCUUGAAGGCAGCAUGCUCGUUAAGAGUCAUCACCACUCCCUAAUCUCAAGUACCCAGGGACACAAACACUGCGGAAGGCCGUGGGGUCCUCUGCCUAGGAAAACCAGAGACCUUUGUUCACUUGUUUAUCUGCUGACCUUCCCUCCACUAUUGUCCUGUGACCCUGCCAAAUCCCCCUCUGCGAGAAACACCCAAGAAUGAUCAAUAAAAAAAAAUAAUAAUAAUAAUAAAAAGAAAGAAAGAAUUAAACAAGAAAAAAAAAAGACCACAAAAAAAAAAAAAAAAAAAGAAAUGUAAUCCCCAAUGCAGGAGAUGGGGCCUGGUGGGAGGUGUCUGUGUCAUGGGACCAAUGACAGAAGAUCCCUCCUGAAUCGCUUGGUGCCCUCCUUGUAGUAAUGAGUGAGUUCUCACUCUGAGUUCAGAGGAGGUCUGGUUGUUCAAAAGAGUGUGGCACCUGCCCUCUGCCCAUGCUCCCAGCCCCAGGGAUUUCUUUUGAGGGGCACAAAAAUCGACUAAAACAGCAACCACAGCCAUUGGUCUUUUAUGUCAUCAUUCUUACAUCUCUUCUCUCCUAGCUUCCUCUCCUAUUUCACUUGCUGUUCCUGGCCUCUUCUUCUAGCUUGACUCUCCUGAUCCCCUUUCUUUUCUGUUCCUUCCCUUCUUUCCACUCUUGUCACUGCCUAAGAUGGUGAUGCUCACAGCUAAGGAGUUUGCUCACCCUGGCCAUAAGACGAAGGGUUAGGAUUGGCUAGUCACUGUUUUUAACUAAACAGGGGUAGACACUUGGCCAUUGGAACCUAGAAUUCUGUCUGUCAUUGGCCUUGGGCUCCGUUUGCUCUGCAUCCCGCAUGUGAACACUGACCGGGGCCUGUUUCCCUCCUACUGCUCCAUCUCCAAGAGCAGCAUGACAGUCACACAUUGCUCAAGCUAGAAAUGUGACAGUAUCUCAGUCUGUCCUCUCCCUUCCAUGUCAUAUCUAAGCAGCCAGGGAGUCCUGUCUAUCCCAAGGCACGCCUCCUGUCCCUUUCCUCUCCACCACACCGCCCCUGCUCAUGCCCACUCUUCUGACUGAACUCAUUACAUUCCCUCCUACCUCGUUUCCCAGGCUCUAAACUCACCUUCUGGGAACCUCUGAUCCCUGCUUACAUCCAUGGCUCCUUCUGCCUCUAAGAUAAGAUGCAUGUACCUUGGCCUGGCCUGCAGGGUCCUCCAGAGCAGGCCCACUUAACCUUGCCAUCUUCAUCUGGCCCUGCGCCUCACACCCUACGUUCUGGCCAUAUUGGACCCUAGCAGUUCUCAAAAAUAUGUGGUGUCCAUCCUACUAUGAAAUUUUAUCUUAUCUUAUGCUAAGACAUUCCUGUUAAUGGGAGGACUGCCCAUGUUUAGCAAAAUACGUAGAUAAACUGCUUUGAAAUAGAAGAUAAGCCUCCAAGGACAUAGAAGAAAAUAAAUAAGAGAUAGCUGAGCCACACCACAUGAGAAAUGAACAGAAAGUCUUCCCUUCUUUUUUUUAAUGUAAGAUACACGCACAUAUAGAAGAGUAAGUCAUAUAUGUUCAGUUUUAAAAAUAAUUGUAAAGCAAAUACACAUGGAACCAUCACCAAGGUCAAGAUGCAGAGCAUGGCCGGGAUUCAGAAGCUCGUCCUGGCCACAGCUUCAGGCGAACAGGGUUCGGGGGUGAGAGAAAUUGGGAAAGAAGACAGAGGAGCAGGGAAAGCUCAGGAUGUGGUGAAUUUGCCUGUUUCCUUCAAUUUCCAGUAGAAAUUCCUAACGUAUCUGAUAAUGGGGAGUGGGCGUGGAAGGUGUUGCAGGAAGCCAAGGGGGUCUAUCCCAUGCUUGGGUUGACCCUGGACAGAGAAAAAGGAACAUCUACAGAUGCAGAAAGAAAAAUAAGAACUCAAAAGAAAUGCAACGGGAGUCAGGGUGAGAUCUGGAUUGCUAAACUGGGUCAUGGCUGUCCUUGAUGCCUUUCCCAGACUCACAUCCUACUUUCAACUUCCAGAAUCAUUCCUGUUCCCUGCCAGGGAAAGGUGAGCCCAAAGAAAAAACCGAGCAUAAAGUAAAGUGCACAUCAUUUAUUUCUUCAGCAUUCACUCACCCAUUCAUUCAGCAGGCAUGUGUUGCACGCCCGGCACUGUGUUAGGGCUGGGGAGACCAUAGACACCAAAAGCAGCCGCCAUCCUUGGCUUAGGGCUCCUUAUGAUCCAGCAGUGAGCACUUUCCCCUGAGCCUGGUGUGGAGGAGAAUUGGCUACACUGCAGGAGGAAGCCACCCCAGGCUCAUUUGGGUCCUUUAAAUAAACCCUUUGGUUCUUCUGGGAUAUGACUGUGUGCUAAUUUCAUGAGAUAGCAUGACAUUGUCACUGCUUUUUAUCCUUCACAAUUGCAUAGGGCAUGUACCAGAGAAAGGAAGAGAGAGAGGAAGUUAGUGCAUAAGUGGAUAAUCCAAGCGAAGUUUCCCUCCUUCCGUUCUCUUUGCAGGUCUAUGUAUUCCUGUGCUUACCUUGUGCGUGCGUGAUGCAUGGAUGUUGCUGCUAGGGGACAUUCAUAUGGACCUAAGUGUCAAGAACACUGGGAGCCAAUAGAUCCAUUUGGACCCAUUUUGGGGACUAAAUGCAGGUUUCAUACCUCAAGCCUCUACAAGAAGAUAAGAAACCCCCACAAAGAAACACUGAGCGCAUGCCCACCAGGACCUCAGGGAGAACACAGCUACCUAGAGCAUCGUGGGGAGGAAAACCCAGUGCUGGCUUCUGCAAUUGGAGGAUGAAUAGAAACUUCCUUACUCUGAGCCCAGACUAAGAGAAAGUGAGAUAAACAUUAAGUAGUGUCUUGGCAGUGAGGAGUGAGGAACAUCUGCUCUCGGGAUGUUGACAUUUCUUUAAGGGCUAGAUAGCAGAAACUGGCCAACGUCCAACAUGCAGGAACCUUGAUGCUCCCAACGCUGAUUUCUAAGGUCGAAAGCAUGGCGUGUGCCACACCCAAGGACGCUCAAGACAGGAGCUCCCAUUGCAGUCCUCUACAGCUUUGUUCCCAGGGUUCUUUAGCAGAGUUGAUGCCUUGGAGGAGCCGCGGAAGUUCAUCUACCUGUGUGCUGGAGCCCAGGAAGGCCCAGCGCAUUGGCUGUUUGUGACAUGUUCCCUUUCCAGGACGGUGCCUCCCAGUGCCCCCAUACCCACGAGGAUGCAAGAGUUUGCAGAGCAGCUUCUCAGAGAGGCGCACGGACCCUGGAAGUACUAGCUCAGUUUCCAGCAUAGGGUCUGCUGGGAAAGGACGAUAACAACCUAGAAAAGAAGUUAGGGUCUCCUUCCAGCUGCUAGGUCCAUGGUCACCGCAAAAUACAAAAUGCUAGACUCUGAUGUUAUUUGGAAGGAAGCGAGAAAAACACAAAUGUCUAAUUCUUUGUGCUGUCCUUUUUUUUCUCUUUGAGCACCUCUAAAAGCCUUCCGC
rnacentral:lncRNA from 1 species